rnacentral:rRNA from 1 species
CGAGAUGUAGCUCCGUCUCGUGGGCUCGGAGAUGUGUAUAAGAGACAGCCUAUAAGACUGGGAUAACUUCGGGAAACCGGAGCUAAUACCGGAUAAUAUUUUGAACCGCAUGGUUCAAAAGUGAAAGACGGUCUUGCUGUCACUUAUAGAUGGAUCCGCGCUGCAUUAGCUAGUUGGUAAGGUAACGGCUUACCAAGGCAACGAUGCAUAGCCGACCUGAGAGGGUGAUCGGCCACACUGGAACUGAGACACGGUCCAGACUCCUACGGGAGGCAGCAGUAGGGAAUCUUCCGCAAUGGGCGAAAGCCUGACGGAGCAACGCCGCGUGAGUGAUGAAGGUCUUCGGAUCGUAAAACUCUGUUAUUAGGGAAGAACAUAUGUGUAAGUAACUGUGCACAUCUUGACGGUACCUAAUCAGAAAGCCACGGCUAACUACGUGCCAGCAGCCGCGGUAAUACGUAGGUGGCAAGCGUUAUCCGGAAUUAUUGGGCGUAAAGCGCGCGUAGGCGGUUUUUUAAGUCUGAUGUGAAAGCCCACGGCUCAACCGUGGAGGGUCAUUGGAAACUGGAAAACUUGAGUGCAGAAGAGGAAAGUGGAAUUCCAUGUGUAGCGGUGAAAUGCGCAGAGAUAUGGAGGAACACCAGUGGCGAAGGCGACUUUCUGGUCUGUAACUGACGCUGAUGUGCGAAAGCGUGGGGAUCAAACAGGAUUAGAUACCCUGGUAGUCCACGCCGUAAACGAUGAGUGCUAAGUGUUAGGGGGUUUCCGCCCCUUAGUGCUGCAGCUAACGCAUUAAGCACUCCGCCUGGGGAGUACGACCGCAAGGUUGAAACUCAAAGGAAUUGACGGGGACCCGCACAAGCGGUGGAGCAUGUGGUUUAAUUCGAAGCAACGCGAAGAACCUUACCAAAUCUUGACAUCCUUUGACAACUCUAGAGAUAGAGCCUUCCCCUUCGGGGGACAAAGUGACAGGUGGUGCAUGGUUGUCGUCAGCUCGUGUCGUGAGAUGUUGGGUUAAGUCCCGCAACGAGCGCAACCCUUAAGCUUAGUUGCCAUCAUUAAGUUGGGCACUCUAAGUUGACUGCCGGUGACAAACCGGAGGAAGGUGGGGAUGACGUCAAAUCAUCAUGCCCCUUAUGAUUUGGGCUACACACGUGCUACAAUGGACAAUACAAAGGGCAGCGAAACCGCGAGGUCAAGCAAAUCCCAUAAAGUUGUUCUCAGUUCGGAUUGUAGUCUGCAACUCGACUACAUGAAGCUGGAAUCGCUAGUAAUCGUAGAUCAGCAUGCUACGGUGAAUACGUUCCCGGGUCUUGUACACACCGCCCGUCACACCACGAGAGUUUGUAACACCCGAAGCCGGUGGAGUAACCUUUUAGGAGCUAGCCGUCGAAGGUGGGACAAAUGAUUGGGGUGAAGUCGUAACAAGGUAGCCGUAUCGGAAGGUGCGGCUGGAUCACCUCCUUU